CCUACGGGAGGCAGCAGUGGGGAAUAUUGCACAAUGGGGGAAACCCUGAUGCAGCGACGCCGCGUGAGUGAAGAAGUAUUUCGGUAUGUAAAGCUCUAUCAGCAGGGAAGAAGAAAGACGGUACCUGACUCAGAAGCCCCGGCUAACUACGUGCCAGCAGCCGCGGUAAUACGUAGGGGGCAAGCGUUAUCCGGAUUUACUGGGUGUAAAGGGAGCGUAGACGGCUGUGCAAGUCUGAAGUGAAAGCCCAGGGCGCAACCCUGGGACUGCUUUGGAAACUGUGGAGCUAGAGUGCUGGAGAGGUAAGUGGAAUUCCUAGUGUAGCGGUGAAAUGCGUAGAUAUUAGGAGGAACACCAGUGGCGAAGGCGGCUUACUGGACAGUAACUGACGUUGAGGCUCGAAAGCGUGGGGAGCAAACAGGAUUAGAUACCCUUGUAGUC
rnacentral:rRNA from 1 species